rnacentral:rRNA from 1 species
AAUGAACGCUGGCGGCGUGCCUAACACAUGCAAGUCGCACGAGAAAGCCUGAUUUCGGUUGGGCGAGUAAAGUGGCGCACGGGUGAGUAACGCGUAGACAACCUACCCCUGGGUUGGGGAUAACAGUGCGAAAGCGCUGCUAAUACCGGAUACGACCUUGCUGCGGGAGCAACAAGGUGAAAGUCAGCCACUCGAAGAAGCUGAUGCUCGGGGAUGGGUCUGCGUCCUAUCAGCUAGUUGGUAGGUAAUGGCCUACCAAGGCGACGACGGGUAGCUGGUCUGAGAGGAUGAUCAGCCACACUGGCACUGGAACACGGGCCAGACUCCUACGGGUGGCAG